UCUCGCCGUCUUCAGCUGCAUUCAUGUUUCUUUCUCAGAACGCAAAGGACACGGGACGGACGGGCUCCGGAACGGAGGCGUCAUCGCGGCUCAUUUAACAGAAGACAGCGAACGCGAUGCAGAUCAAAGCGGGAGCGAGCGACGUCGCAAACGUUAAUAGGUAUAUCUAUAUCAAUCACGCGAUAAUUUAAGUUUGCUGUUGCGGAAUAUGCUAAGCUGAGUGCCGGGACAUCGUAGCGUUGUCGCGCGCGCGGUGACGCGAACGCGGCGUCGCGUCGGUCUUGUCGCGUGAAGUUGUCGCGAAGACACGAAGCCGCUUCUCGCCACCUUCAGUUGCAUUCACGUUUCUUUUACGGGGCGCAACGGACACGGAAUGGACGGGCUCCGGAGCGGAGGCGUCGUCGUGACUCGUUUAGCAGAACGCGGUGGAUGCAGGAUGGAUCGGAACUGGAGCGAGCGGCGUCGCGACUCGUUUAUCACAUUGUAUAGUAUCGUACUACAAUUCUAUUAUUGCAUCGUGGAAAUGUAAUCUGAAGAGGAGAUCUGACAACUCGGAAACAAAUUAGACUUGGGGGAGGUAUCAGGUCUCAGUGGAAUAACUUUGCGAUUUAUCGUAGCGAUGUGUCUAAUAACUCCACUGUCGCACAUCAAUUGCUAAGUGAUAAAAAAAAAUUUAUAAAUGAGGUAACAAAACUAUGAAAUAUAGUAAGCCAUUUUAUUUUUUAAUACUAUAAAAGAAACGUUUUCUAAUAAAAAUGUAAAAAAAAAUUAUAAGUUUAAAUAAAUAAAAUUAUGUUCAGACAUAAUAGUAAUUCCAUGAAUUAAAAUUAUGGACGCAACAUAAUAAAAAAACGGAAUUAUUUUUAUGUCUAUGUAUUAUUACAAUUUUAAUUCGUGGAUUUAGUAUUACGUCGCAACACAAUUUCAAUUCAUUAAAUUAUUAUUAUGUCGUGCC